rnacentral:tRNA from 1 species
ACCUGGCUAGCUCAGUCAGUACAGCAUGUGGCUCUUGAUCUCAAGGUCGUGAGUUUGAGCCCCACGUUUGGUG